GCGCAAUCCAGAGGAAAGAAUGGGUUUAAGGAUCUUUCCUACAGAUAAGACCUCCCUCCACAGGACCAGCACCCUCAAGAAAAUAAGUGUGUGUGUGUGUGUGUGUGUGUGUGUGUGUGUGUGUGUGUGUGUGUGUGUGUGCCUUUUACAAUAAGCCUUAUAAACACAGUCACAGGAAGGAAUGCCUUCCAAGAAUUCAGAGCCUGGGUCUCUAGUACCAGUGCGGGACCUUUAGUGAGCGCGGGUGGCUAGUGUGCUGUGGGGUUGGCAAUGAGGGGAACCGGGAGGAGGAGAGGAAAGGCUUCCGACACCCGAUCCCAGCCUUCCGCACAAGCCUCUGCAAAGCCCUGGGGUGGCAGCUGAACCCCGCGGCUGUGCACACACACACGGGAGGAGCCACCAGCGACGAUCGGGGACCAGGACCCCGCGGGAUGAUCCUCACCGGGGGGCACUGCACCCCCGGACCGCCACCCGAACCCUAGCCUAACUCGGAGAGCAGAGCAGAGGGAGCCGAGAGAGCCGCGCAGGGGCGGUGUCGCCACGGCGCGGGGAUUUCGAGAGAAGAUGGAUUCCUGUUACUUACGUCUGCGACCACGUACCUUUAAAAAAAAUAAAUAAAUAAAAGACUACAACCGGAAUCCAGACUGUCAGGGAACCUGUACCACAAACACCAUCUUUGUUGCAGGCAAAAGCCCUGGACAGGAAGUGCUGUAGCCAUCUUUGUGGAGGGCAGGGGAAGGAAGUGUGGUAGCCAUCUUUGUUGAGGGCCCAAGAGGUCAGGUGGACGCUUUCUCCGCCAUGGUUGCUGUGGGUAAAAGAGACAAUCACGCCUAGACUUUAAAAAAAAAAAAAA